GUCGGACUGCCCAGCCAAAGGACACGUGUACUUGAUGUUGCUAUCCUGUUCACUCUUGCUUUAACACAAGUGUUUGUAAGUCUGGGGUUUCUCUCCUCCUCGGUCAGCCAGGGAUUGUAUCUUUGCUAAGAACCACCGAUCAGCAUGACUGUCAUCCUUGGGAGGUUGUGGGGAAGGAGGAAAGGGUUUUCCGCGAGAGUCCAGAGAACUAAGGCCAACGGAAGGAAGUCGGAGGGAGGCGUAUUUCGUCUCAGACACAACUUGCCAACAGUGGAAAAAGCUGCUUUUAAGGGACUUUCAACUAACCAACUAAAGAACUGUACCCAGAGCAUUGUUCCCGAGGAAGAAAAGAGCUAAACACCCACCCACAACUGCUUUGUGCCAAGAAUCUACAGUUGGGUUGCAAGUCAGCACAUGUUGUCCUUUUGGAAAAAUGAGAGUGAGACCAAGUAAAGAGGCAGCAGAGGGGUCUCAAGACAUCCCAAGGCAAGUGGCCAAACCGUGGGGGUCUCCCUCCUCCCUGGGCUAGACUCCCCUGCCCCGGGGCCUUUUGUA
rnacentral:lncRNA from 1 species